rnacentral:rRNA from 1 species
GACGAACGCUGGCGGCGUGCUUAACACAUGCAAGUCGAACGGAAAGGCCCUGCUUUUGUGGGGUGCUCGAGUGGCGAACGGGUGAGUAACACGUGAGUAACCUGCCCUUGACUUUGGGAUAACUCCAGGAAACUGGGGCUAAUACCGGAUAGGAGCUCCUGCUGCAUGGUGGGGGUUGGAAAGUUUCGGCGGUUUGGGAUGGACUGGAAGCUUAUCAGCUUGUUGGGGGGGUAGUGGCUUACCAAGGCUUUGACGGGUAGCCGGCCUGAGAGGGUGACCGGCCACAUUGGGACUGCGAUACGGCCCAGACUCCUACGGGAGGCAGCAGUGGGGAAUAUUGCACAAUGGGCGGAAGCCUGAUGCAGCAACGCCGCGUGCGGGAUGACGGCCUUCGGGUUGUAAACCGCUUUCGCAUGUGACGAAGCGUGAGUGACGGUAAUGGGUAAAGAAGCACCGGCUAACUACGUG